rnacentral:lncRNA from 1 species
AAUCAGCUGAGGCAAGUGUUGGGUCAUCUGUGGGAGCACAGGUGAGAGUAAUUUAGCUGUGCUCCUGGAAGAGGUGGAGUCAAGCUAAACGUCAUUUAAGGGCUGACCACUGCUAAGGCAGCAUCUCUUGGAGAUCACUUCUCAGUGGAGAUUGCCUCAGUGGUUCCCAGCAGACCAAAGGCUUCCAUACGGGUGAGUUUUUCCUGUAAAUAACCUUUUGGGUAUUUACAACUACUAUCUUUUCAUUAUUGUCACCAUACAACUUAUUUAAGGUACCUGACACCUUACCUGUCCCAAAGGAGUUGAAGUUGUUGUACCAGUGAUGUGUUUAUUUUGAUUCUUAGUAAACUAAGAUACACAGCGUUACAAGAACUGUAAAGAUGGGUUUUUAACUUUCAGAAAUGUUCUGAUCAUUGACAAUCUCUGCUUCAUAUACCACUAGGAGGAAGAACAGGGACAAUAAACAUACAGGUAAAUAAGAAUCCUAUGAAAUAAGUAACCAUUAGCUUAAUUCUAGCAAAGCUUACCAGCACUUGCUGACGUUCUUUUUUUUUACUUAAUUAUUUUUUUUCAGGAUAAUAGAUGCUCUUAUUUAAUAAGCUGAGAGAGUUCAUAAGAAUUUGCUGAAAAGUCUUGCUGAGUACAAGUAGAGUUAAAAGGGCUGGCUGCGCUACUGUUGGAUGCUGGUUAAAUGUUAGGCCAUAUUUGUUCACAGAUUUUUACAAAUUAAGAUUGAUUGGGAAGAUGGUUAUGACUUUACAUUACUGUUUGAAAGGCUGUCUGCAAAGGGCAUUGACCAACAGCACUGCUGCAAAAAGGAGAGAGAAUCCCAGAUUACCACAGGAAUCUGUAUUAUGGCACAGCCAUUACCACAAAGACACUGAGAAACUGAAGAAGGGCCAGAAAACUCUACUACCACAGGCGUAGAGACUGGAAAGACUGAAUUCAGGGUGAAUUGAUUUAAAUCAGAACACAGGAAGCUUGGAUUUGUACAAAUAAAUACCGACUUGUUAUGUAUUUAUACUUUCCC